GAUGAACGCUGGCGGCGUGCCUAAUACAUGCAAGUCGAGCGCACGGACGAGAAGGAUGCUUCUCUGAUGUUAGCAGCGGACAGGGGAGUAACAGGUGGAUAACCUACCUAUAAGUCUGGGAUAAAUUCGGGAAACAGUAGGUAAUAGCGGCUAAUAUUUUGAACCGGAUGGUUCAACAGUGAAAGAGGGUCUUGCUGUCACUCAUAGAUGGCUCCGCGAUGCAUUAGCUAGUUGGUAAGGUAACGGCUUACCAAGGCAACGAUGCAUAGCCGACCUGAGAGGGUGAUCGGCCACACUGGAACUGAGACACGGUCCAGACUCCUACGGGAGGCAGCAGUAGGGAAUCUUCCGCAAUGGGCGAAAGCCUGACCGAGCAACGCCGCGUGAGUGAAGAAGGUCUUCGGAUCGUAAAACUCUGUUAUUAGGGAAGAACAUAUGUGUAAGUAACUGUGCACAUCUUGACGGUACCUAAUCAGAAAGCCACGGCUAACUACGUG
rnacentral:rRNA from 1 species